rnacentral:rRNA from 1 species
GGGAUUGCCUCAGUAACGGCGAGUGAAGCGGCAACAGCUCAAAUUUGAAAUCUGGCCCUUUCAGGGUCCGAGUUGUAAUUUGUAGAGGAUGUUUCGGCGAGUGCUCCCGUCUAAGUUCCUUGGAACAGGACGUCAUAGAGGGUGAGAAUCCCGUAUGUGAUGGGUUGCGCGAGCCAUGUGAAACUCCUUCGACGAGUCGAGUUGUUUGGGAAUGCAGCUCUAAAUGGGAGGUAAAUUUCUUCUAAAGCUAAAUACCGGCCAGAGACCGAUAGCGCACAAGUAGAGUGAUCGAAAGAUGAAAAGCACUUUGGAAAGAGAGUUAAAAAGUACGUGAAAUUGUUGAAAGGGAAGCGCUUGCAACCAGACUUGCUCGCAGUUGCUCAACCCGCCUCCUGGUGGGUGUACUCUUCUGCGGUCAGGCCAGCAUCAGUUCGGGCGGUCGGAUAAAGGCGUCGGGAAUGUAGCUCCCCUCGGGGAGUGUUAUAGCCCGGCGUGGCAUGCGACCUGUCCGGACUGAGGAUCUCGCUUCGGCUAGGAUGCUGGCGUAAUGGUUGUAAGCGGCCCGUCUUGAAACACGGACCAAGGAGUCUAACAUCUAUGCGAGUGUUUGGGUGUCAAACCCAUGCGCGUAAUGAAAGUGAACGGAGGUGGGAACCCGCGAGGGCGCACCAUCGACCGAUCCUGAUGUCUUCGGAUGGAUUUGAGUAUGAGCAUAGCUGUUGGGACCCGAAAGAUGGUGAACUAUGCCUGAAUAGGGUGAAGUCAGAGGAAACUCUGAUGGAGGCUCGCAGCGGUUCUGACGUGCAAAUCGAUCGUCAAAUUUGGGUAUAGGGGCG